rnacentral:rRNA from 1 species
GAUGAACGCUGGCGGCGUGCCUAAUACAUGCAAGUCGAGCGAACGGACGAGAAGCUUGCUUCUCUGAUGUUAGCGGCGGACGGGUGAGUAACACGUGGAUAACCUACCUAUAAGACUGGGAUAACUUCGGGAAACCGGAGCUAAUACCGGAUAAUAUUUUGAACCGCAUGGUUCAAAAGUGAAAGGCGGUCUUGCUGUCACGUAUAGAUGGAUCCGCGCGGCAUUAGCUAGUUGGUAAGGUAACGGCUUACCAAGGCAACGAUGCAUAGCCGACCUGAGAGGGUGAUCGGCCACACUGGAAUUGAGACACGGUCCAGACUCCUACGGGAGGCAGCAGUAGGGAAUCUUCCGCAAUGGGCGAAAGCCUGACGGAGCAACGCCGCGUGAGUGAUGAAGGUCUUCGGAUCGUAAAACUCUGUUAUUAGGGAAGAACAUAUGUGUAAGUAACUGUGCACAUCUUGACGGUACCUAAUCAGAAAGCCACGGCUAACUACGUG